CUGCACAUUUCAUUGUCCUUUCUUUGUAUGUGUGAACAGUAUUAUUUCUUAUGUGCUAUACAAAGAGUUGAAGGUUAAUUAGCAGUAUAAGUAGUAAUGCUGCCAGUCUCUUUAAGACAGAC